AUAUAUAUAUAUAUAUAUAUAAUAGGUAUCAGUUAGACUCCCACUAGGAUUAGAGUGUUGAAUCGUGAUAGGGAUUGAUCCCUGAAUACUUCGAACUAUCCUGUUGAUAGAGUUCUUAUUAGUCUAGGAGUCAUCCUCUUGUUAAGAAUCUAACUCGUCAUGCGAGUAUCUUGGAAUCCUCUCCUGGGAGAGAGAGAUCUUCCCAUGAGAGGGAGAUCUCCUAUGUCCGAGCAUCCCUUAUGCCUGUUAGGCAAGCAUGAUUUGUGGGCGAACAUCCUUAUGCCUACUAGAUGGGCGAACGUCCCAUGGGCGAGUGAGCAAAUGUUCUUAUAUCAGCUAGACUCGCGAACGUCCCAUGGGCGAGUGGGCGAACGUCCUUAUACUAGCUGGACGGGUGAAUGUCCUAUGGGUGAACAAUGUUAUUCCUACUGAGAAGGCGAACAUCCCACAAAUAAAGUGGGAUUCGAGCAAGUAGCAUCAUUAGUUCCCCCCAUCUUAUCCGAAUCUUUAGGUUCGAUUCUUCUAUCUUGUCCUUUUUAUGUGUUUUGCUAGCCUGGACUAAUGCCCAUCGCUUGGAAGAUUUAUAAACUCUUUGCCUGGGCAAGUGAACUUUUCCUUGUAUAUCAAGUGUUAAUAAUUGCCUUAGGCGAGGCAAGUGAGCAAAUGCCUUGGUGAGAUAGGCGAGCAAACGCUUUAGCAAAAUGGGCGAUUGAAUGCCUUAUGGCCAGUGGGCGAUUAGACACCUUGGUAGAUGGGCAAUUGAAUGCCUUAAGAAUAGUUGGCGAGUUUUCGAUCCCUUUAUAUAAGUGAAUGAAUGCCUUAGCUAAUUUGGUAGAUGAAUAUAUGCCUUACGGUGGGCUUAUGAAAUCAGCCCGGUAGGUAUGCGGACAAAUGCCUUAGCUAGGGCAGGCAAGUAAAUUCAGCCCAGUAGAUAAGAGGAUAAAUGUCUUUAUUAUGGCGAGUGAGUAAAUUUGACCCUGUAGGUAGGCAGAUAAACGCCUUAGUUAGGGCGGACGAGUAAAUUCGAUCGGGUAGGCAGAUAGAUAAACACCUUUGUUAUGACGGGCAAGUAAAUUUGGCCCGGUAGGUAAGCGAAUAAACGCUUUGGUUAAGACGGGUGAGUAAAGUAAACCCAGUAGGCAAGCGGAUAAACGCCUUUCUUAAGACGGGUGAGUAAAAUUAGCCCAAUAAGCAGGCAAAUAAACGUCUUUGUUAAAAUGAGCGAGUAAAUUCGGCCCGAUAAGCAGGCAAAUAAACACCUUUGUCUGAAAACACAAUAAGAAGAAAAUCAAAUAUGAUCUUUUAAUAGAUAAAUAAAAAGACUACAUAGUUUAGUAAUUGCCUUAUUUAAAUAAUCAAAGUAAUUUUACUGAUAAAAUUUAAGUUUUUGAUGUUCUAUGAUCUAAGCACUGUCGUCUUCUAUCUAAGUAGCUUGAUCACCCAGAUGAGACACCCUUCUUUUCAUCACUUACUAUUAUCCUUCUUUAACUUUCUCUAUUUGUAGCUCACCCUUCUUUUCAUCAUCUAACCGAAUAUACUUCUGUGCCCUCUCCAUCAAUUUGUAGUAUGUCCGUGCAGGGUUUUUUUUAUCAAAUAAUCGACAAAUAUAACAUUGGUGGAACCUUUUUUUAGGGCUUUACAGGCUGUCUCGUGAUUUAGUUAUUCCACCUGUAUGGCUUCUAAAUUUAACCGGUCUAUGUAACUUUAGAGACUCUCCCCUUCUUUCUACCAGAUCUUUUGUAGGUCAGAGGAUAGUUUUUUUGAUGGGAUGUAAGUGAUAAAUUUCUGUUUGAAGUCACUUGCCAGUUGGUUUAAGUUUUGGAUGGAAUUUAUUGGGAGGUGUUAAUACCACCUUUGUGCUAUACCGGUUAGGGUAGAUGGGAAGACCCUGCAGAGGAUAAAGUCAUUGACAUUCUGGAGUUGUAUGGUAGUGCAGAAGUUAACAAGGUGACUGCGAGGGUUGGACUUUCCAUCAUAUUUGUUCAAAUUUGGGAGCUUGAAAUUUGUAGGGAAUGGCUCAACCAAAAUCUCCUUUAACAAAGGAGAAUAGUCUCCCACACCCAAAACAUCUUCUAAGGUUACCUCUUUCUGUACCUUUCUCACUGCUUGAACCAAUCUCCAAUUAAUACCUCUUUUAACUGAGUCAACUUCUAGGUCUUUCUUCUCUCUCUUUUUUGAGUUAGACUUCUAUCCCUCAUUGGCUCAGAUUGUAGUACUAUUUUCUAAGGCCCUAAAAUUAUCCAGUUGCAUGGCCUGAUUUUUUAGGCCCAAAUUUUUAGCUUCCAAUUCUUUGAUUCGCUGCAGCAUCGAUUUUGGUAUUAGUUGCAUUAUGGCAUUAUUUGCAACUAUGGCACUAUUGAUGGUGCCAUUGUUGGUGGGUGGUGUUUCAAUAAUUGGCGGUUCAACUACUAGAUAUGAGGCCAUGGUUUGGUGGAGACAACAGCGAUCACAAGAGAAUUAUUUGGUGGUUUCUUACAGACGACGCCAAUGAUGCUUCACAGAAAUCUCCACGGAUAUAGAUUUGCAAAACAAUAAAGCAUCGGGUGGGUUAGUUGACCACCGCUCCGAUGCCUAAGUUAGAGACUCCCAUUGGGAUCACGACUAUUAAGUCGUGAUAGGGAGUUGAUCCGGGAAUAUUUCGGACUAUCCUAUUGAUAGAGUUCUUUUUGGUCCAAGAGUCAUCCUUUUGUUAGGAUUCUAACUCGUCAUGCGAGAAUCUUAGAUCUCCCAUGUUUAAGCGCCUCUUAUGCCUGUUAGGCGAGCAUGAUCCAUGGGUGAACAUUCUUAUGCCAGCUAGACGGACGAACAUCCCAUGAGCAAGUGGGCAAACAUCCCAUGGGCGAGUGGAUGAACGUCUUUAUACUAGCUAGACGGACGAAUGUCCCAUGGAUGAGUGGGUGAACGUCCUUGUACCAGCUAAACGAGCAAACAUCCCAUAUGCAAAAAAUGUUAUUCCGACUGAGUAGGCAAACAUCCCACGAAUGAAUGGGAUCGGGCGAGUAGCAUUAAGAAAAUAAUUUCCUCUAUUAAAAAAAAAGGAAGUUAUUUCCUUUAAAAAGACUUAAUUUUUUUUUUAUGAAAAAGAUAUUUUUUUGUUAAUCUAUUUUUUUAUUUUUUUAUGAAGAAAAUAUUUUCUAUUAUUCUGAGUCUCAAACGCUAAAAAAAUAUAAAACAUAUUUUCAAGAAAAAUACUUUUCACAAAACUAAUGUAGUUUUUUAUUCUAAUGAUACACUGAUGCUCAUCAUCGUUUGCUUAAGUAGUGUUUGGUAUAA
rnacentral:misc_RNA from 1 species